rnacentral:rRNA from 1 species
UACGUAGGGACCAAGCGUUGUUCGGAUUUACUGGGCGUAAAGGGCGCGUAGGUGGCGCGACAAGUCAGUGGUGAAAGUUCGACGCUCAACGUCGAAUCGGCCACUGAUACUGUUGGGCUUGAGCACUGUAGAGGCUAAUGGAAUUCCGGGUGUAGCGAUGGAAUGCGUAGAGAUCCGGAGGAACACCAAUAGCGAAGGCAGCUCG